AUUGAACGCUGGCGGCAUGCCUUACACAUGCAAGUCGAACGGCAGCACGGGAGCAAUCCUGGUGGCGAGUGGCGAACGGGUGAGUAAAGUAUCGGAACGUGCCCAAUCGUGGGGGAUAACGUAGCGAAAGUUACGCUAAUACCGCAUACGAUCUAUGAAUGAAAGCGGGGGAUCGCAAGACCUCGCGCGAUUGGAGCGGCCGAUAUCAGAUUAGGUAGGUGGUGGGGUAAAGGCUCACCAAGCCGACGAUCUGUAGCUGGUCUGAGAGGACGACCAGCCACACUGGGACUGAGACACGGCCCAGACUCCUACGGGAGGCAGCAGUGGGGAAUUUUGGACAAUGGGCGAAAGCCUGAUCCAGCCAUGCCGCGUGCAGGAUGAAGGCCUUCGGGUUGUAAACUGCUUUUGUACGGAACGAAAAGGUUUGGCCUAAUAAGCUGAGCUCAUGACGGUACCGUAAGAAUAAGCACCGGCUAACUACGUGCCAGCAGCCGCAGUAA
rnacentral:rRNA from 1 species